AAUUAAAUCGUGUAGUCAUCGAACAUACUAGAUGAAAUAUACUAGAUGAAAUACAUUUGCGAAUUCUCCUACAGAGUAAAGGAAUUUAUGAGACCUCGUUAAAACUACAAAAUAAUAGAAAUUUAAAAAAUUAAAGAGUUUAAUUAAUUAAGUAGGUUAAGUGGUUGCAAACAUCUGACGUACCUUGUUAAAGGAAUAGAUUUUCGGUAAUCUCGAACGUUUAUAUUCCUUGCCCUCCUUCCUUUUGUUGGUAAAUGAAGAAAAAGAUACACGGAAAGUGAAGAAAUUAGUUUUCAGAAUGAUGUAACGAUUAUUGUCAUUAACACUUUAAUCACGAAAAAGAAACUGUAGGUUUGGUAAAAAAGUAGAGAACGUUUAACUCGUCGAGAGCAGAAAGCACUGUUACUGUACCACUUGUAAACUAAGUUUGCCGUAACAGAUGAUCGUACUUAUAUAUAAAAGAGGUUCUAAUGCGACGAAUUUGGGAGGGCUUGAUUUGUAAAUAAAAUCACACGACACCGUUGGACCAACGAGCAUCGUUGGCAAUUAUAUACGAGUAUUUUCGCACUUUCAUGCUUCAGGAAGGGAUGAAAUUUAUUCGAUCAAUGUUGUUUACACUUUUCGUGUAUAUAAACACUCCUUGUUUAUUUGAAAAUUAUUAGCGUUUUACGUCGAAAUUAAAAAGUAUAUUUCGCAGCUGUUGAGAGAACAGAGGAUGAGAUUCGUUACCCCGAUACAUCACGUGGAUGCAACGAUCGAGGAUAGAAGUAACAUACUUAUUCUACUGAUUGUCUUUUGUACUAAAUCUGUUACAUCGUACACAGAUUAAUCAGGAGGUUUCGUGUUAUCCCGUACGAAAAAUGUAACGUCUCUUAACGGUAAUAUUUUACAGAAUGCACGUCCUCGUAGGAGACCCUGUGGAACAACUCCAUACUCGCGAGAAUCAUUUGAAUUAUUACUAUUGUCACCUUCCAACCACACAUGUCCGUUCGGUACCUAAAAAAGAAGAAAAAGAAACGGGAAGAACUAGAUUGGUAGAGAAUAUAAUAGCCAUUGCAUAAGUUGGUUUUCACAAUAGAAUUUAAAGUUUUACAUGGAUUCGUCAUCUUAACAUUACAUACUAUGAUUCCAUUCUUCAACUUGUCUCCAGAUAUUCGUUCCGUCAGCAAGACAUCGUUGGUGCGUAACGUUGGUUCCAUCGAAGGUCCUGCACACUACAUAACGAAAACAUCAGUGUUCGCUAUCUCAAUGUUAGCAACAGUAUCGUCAAACUAGUUUACAAUCAUCGGAUAAGGUUUUCUUACCACCACGAUAUCUCCUAAAUAUUCAUAAAUGCAAUGUAUAACGCAAGUAUAAAGUACAGUUUUGCUCACUAUUUUGCGAACAAAUUUAACGAGCAUUGCCAUCCAGGAGUACGAAUAACAUUAUUCUUUUGUAAAGGAUGUUGGUGCAAUUAGUAUAUAAUAUUUAUUUGUAUCAUCUGAAACAAUACGAAUGAAAAAUUAGUUUUAAUAUACCUAAACGUGGAAGAAUAUAACAAGUUUACGGUCCACAUUAUUGUCAAUGAAGAUUAACAUUUUAUCACUGUUACAUUAUGGUACUUGGUACGGUAAAUGUAGUAGAAUGAUGUAAAAAAUGAUGUGUAAAGGUCGAUUAACGUAAUACGGAAUAACAUAAAAAUAAUAAAUAGGAUUAUUGAUUUUUGAAACCAGACAUCGUACAGUUGGAAUAUCAAAGUGUGUAAACUUACUCGAAGUCGAGAAACAAAGUUUCACUGUCGGCUAAAUGUUUCUUUUACGAUGUAUCGGUAGGUUAAGCACUUGAGGAUUACACAACGUAUGAGAAUAAAUAAACGUAUAUUCCAGAAA